rnacentral:rRNA from 1 species
GACGAACGCUGGCGGCGUGCUUAACACAUGCAAGUCGAACGGAAAGGCCCUGCUUUUGUGGGGUGCUCGAGUGGCGAACGGGUGAGUAACACGUGAGUAACCUGCCCUUGACUUUGGGAUAACUUCAGGAAACUGGGGCUAAUACCGGAUAGGAGCUCCUGCUGCAUGGUGGGGGUUGGAAAGUUUCGGCGGUUGGGGAUGGACUCGCGGCUUAUCAGCUUGUUGGUGGGGUAGUGGCUUACCAAGGCUUUGACGGGUAGCCGGCCUGAGAGGGUGACCGGCCUCAUUGGGACUGAGGUACGGCCCAGACUCCUACGGGAGGCAGCAGUGGGGAAUAUUGCACAAUGGGCGGAAGCCUGAUGCAGCAACGCCGCGUGCGUGAUGACGGCCUUCGGGUUGUAAACCGCUUUCGCCUGUGACGAAGCUUGAGUGACGGUAAUGGGUAAAGAAGCACCGGCUAACUACGUG